AUGUUGUAAAGUAAGUUGUAUUUUGCAUUUGGUUAAUUGUGUUUAUUUUGUUGGCAGGGAGAAAAUGUUUACUGAAGACACAUGGGGCUGGGCUCAUCUGUGAUGUAUUCAGCUCCAGUAUCAUAGGGGAAUAACUCUUUCCAUCACUGCUGAGUCUUGAUGCCGUCACACUGAUUACACUCCUGUUUCUCUUAGGAGCGCCAGUUCAGUCUGUCAGGCUGUAAACAAGAUGAGAUGCUUCUGGAUUUAGGACUUCAUCAAAACAGGUCACAAAGAAGGAUGUAACUGGAAGCUCUAGGAUCAGAAACAAUUAUGCCAAGACAUGACAGUCUAUUGAGACACAAUGAAAUAAGGAAUAUACACUAAGACAACUUUCAGAAACAUCUUUCAACUGAUGAUCAGGAACUAGAAAACAUUGUGUUUUCUCUAGAGGAUGCAUCACUCUCAUAUUAAUUUGCUGGUUCAUCUGUGUUUUUGCAGGGCUCAUACAUAAAGUGUCUCUGCAGGUCACAGUAGAGGGUUUCAUCUGUGGUUCUGUUCUCCUGCCGUGUUCUUCAGCUCAACAUGACCUGAAACUUCAAGACACUGAAGUCCACUGGAGAGACAGAAAUGACAAAAUCGUGUACAAUAUAAUUAAGGGCAAACAUUCAGUAGAAGGACAAAAGACACAGUACAAGAACAGAGUUGAAACUUUUUCUAAUGAGAAUCUGAGAGCAAACUUCUCCAUCAAACUUACUUCUCUCUCUCACGCUGAUGCAGGAAAAUACAUCUGUUUCAUCACAAACUCAUCUGAUUAUCAACCGAGGACUGUAGAGCUGAUCAUCAACGGUCUGUAAAACUGGUUGAUUGAUGCAUGAUGAUUUAAAUUUUAAAAAGCUUUAUAAAAUCUGAAUACAAUAUGGGUUUGAUCAACUACUGAUAUUUCAGUCUGAAUUCUGCUGUUUAUAAAAAGUUGACAGAUCUGUUGUGAUUAUCACAGUUUAGUAAUAUUUUUGUUUUCUUUACUCUUUUGUUGCAGAGUCAACAGCAGAAAAAGGAAAUGGAUCAAGAGACAAAGAAAACCAAAGAGAAGAUUCAUGAGCAGACAGUGUGGGGAAAUCAAUGCUCUGGGUUUGCAUUGUAGUGAUUGUAUUAGGGUUUAUAGCCUGUUAAAUCAUAUUUCACUUGAGAGUG